GAUGAAGAACGUAGCGAAAUGCGAUAAGUAAUGUGAAUUGCAGAAUUCAGUGAAUCAUCGAAUCUUUGAACGCACAUUGCGCCCGCCAGUAUUCUGGCGGGCAUGCCUGUUCGAGCGUCAUUUCAACCCUCAAGCCCCAGCGGCCUGGUGUUGGGGACCGGCGACCUCGCCCGAGCCCGCCCUCCGGGGCGCGUGCCCGGUGCGUCCGCCGCCCCCGAAAUGAAUUGGCGGCCUCGUCGCGGCCUCCUCUGCGUAGUAGCACAACCUCGCAAGCGGGAGCGCGACGCGGCCACUGCCGUAAAACGCCCAACUUUUUUAGAGUUGACCUCGGAUCAGGUAGGAAUACCCGCUGAACUUAAGCAUUUCAAUAAGCGGAGGA
rnacentral:misc_RNA from 1 species